rnacentral:lncRNA from 1 species
CGCGAGCCCAACACGGCUCUCGGAGGACUAGCCCCCCUCCCCCACCCCGCCCCCUGGCGCUAGCGUUCGGCCGCGCGCCCGCGCCACCUAGGGGCGGGGCCGAUGGGAGGGGCCUAUGCAAAUAUGUUUACGUUAAAAUUCGGCUUAGCUUCCCCGGUGGAGGAAAAAGUGUACUGCCUGGCGCCUGGCAUGGAUGCGGGGGAGGGGGGCUGCGGCUCCAGGAGGCGGGUCUCUAGCUUCUGUGCACCUUUAUUAAGAACGUCUACGGCUUUCGCCUCGGCGGAUAGUCUCACCGCUAGGCUCCUAGGCCCGGGCACUGCGUGUGCAUCGACCUGUGGAAGUCACACUUUGCAAAUUUCCUUCCUUCACCUUGCACGAAGGAAUGAGAUCUUUGGGAAACCGGGGAGUGGAGAGUGUAGGUCCCCGGAUUGACAAAACAAUCUGGGAGAAGUGCAUGCGUGCUUUGCACGUCCGUCGAAGCAGGAGAGCCCUUUCAACAUCCUAGCGGUAGACUAGGGGAUAGUAGGGAGACUGAAGCCGUGGAGUCGGGUUCCGGGAUUUUCAAGAGUAUGUUUGGCUGUAGAUUCUGGAGAAAGCCACAGAUCCUCUGGUUUUGAAAUAUGUAUACUACUACCUUCAUUGGCAUCAGAAGAAUGAAAGAUAACACAAAUCCAAGAUUCCUAGGACCAAGCCUUCCCCUCGUGGACACUUAAGAAAUGCUUACUAAUUCAGUUUCCCAGUCUGUUAUUGGGUCAAUAAAACAAACUUUGGUGCAUGCCACAUAUGUCAAGCUCAACACUGGUCACCAGAGGUGUCAUGCGGAGCAAGAUCUUGUUCCAUUGUCGUUGUUCCUGUUAGUCUAGUGAACUGCUUGCCU